rnacentral:lncRNA from 1 species
AGGUUUAAAACCAGGACAAUACUGCUUUUCCUUUAUUUAAAAAAAACUACAACCUAGUGACUGUAUUGGUCAUAAGCAUGAUUGUUGUUGCAAUGUGCUACUUACAAUGAAUGACUGACAGAAAACAAGCUAGGGAUCCUGUCUGCAGCUUCCAGCCUUUCCUCUUUUUAUUUCAGUAGGCAUCAAUGAUAAAUCAAUCUUAUGUACAAUUUCUUACAACUAGCCCCUUUACCUUUGGCAAGAUUACUUACAACUCAUACAACUUCUUAAUAUCUGAGAACUAUUUAAAAUAUUCUAAAUGCAUAAAAAUAAAGAUUUUGGCUUUUGAUAUAUAUAAUAUUUAUUCUGUUACUCAAAAUGGAAGCUCAACUUCUCCCCCAAAAUAUAGCUCUGCUGGGCAGUUGCUGAUAUGCCCUCCUGGGAAUUCUGGCAGCAUAGCGUGCCUCUCUGUUCCCCAGCCUGAGCACAAACCACUCUUCUUGAUCUCUAAUACAGGCCACUACUGACAGGAGGCAGGUGAAUGGCCUGAAAAACAAAGGGAGAUUGCUUUGCUUCCUGUUGUGUUUUACAUUUCAGUAAAUGUGCUUGGAAUAUAGAUUCUUGUUCAGAUACUUUGCCUCUCUGUUGCCAGAGAUUUGUAAGGGGGUAAGGGAAGAGGGAGUACAGAAAGCAACAUUUCCUUGACUUCUUUAGCCUAAUUGCAAGGCAGCUUUUCUCUAGGAAUGCUUUUUCCCAUGUCUUUCAAAAUCACCCCUCACAGUACUCUGGGCCUGGACUUGUUCCUUGGGACCUUUGGGAUUAGUGAAAAGAGUACUAAUCAGGAGACAAAGUCUGUUUUGCUCCUUUGACCGCUACCCCCUGCUCCCUGUCUGGUAUGGACAAGAUACAUAGCCAUAAUGAUUGCUUAAAGUUCAAUUUCAAACGUCUUCUGUAAGUCACUGGAGAAAGGGUUGGUAGGGGAGGGAUUAGUACGCUGCUUGGACUUAUUUUCUAAUGCAGCCCACUGGGCUUCAAAAGGAUCCACUGGGCAGGUGCCUGUAGGAACCUCUGUAUGCCUGUCUGCUGAGGCCAACCUGCCAUCAUCUACACCAUUGAAAGCUGCAGAACCGUUGAGGUGCUGAGCAGGAGGCUUAAAGAAGGGACUGGUGGUAGCACUGCUUGCCUCGUAGUGAGGGAAUGUCUGCUGCCUGACCAGGCUGGGUGACUGAUGGGGCUGGAUAGGGCAUUCCAUUGGCCACAGGAUAGGACUGGGCAGGGACAAAGGCUGGUUGCAGGGCUGGGACCACACCCACUGGCACAGGCUGAGAGGUGAGGAAUGCAUUCCCUUGGAAAGGUGAUGCUGGCUGGGAGAUGGCAGUGGGUGGAGGAGGCUGGAGAACUGGCUGCAGAGGAGCAGCUGAGGCCUGGGGCUGCUGAGCCCGGACGCUCUUAGACACCUCUUCUAACCAUCGGUCGGCCUCAGAGGGAGUACGUCUAUGACCGGCCUGGAAGAGACCUGGAGAGGCAGCACCAGAAGAUUGACCCCACUCGGUCCCUGGAACCAACAAGAUGAGAGACAAAAGAAUCAGUUAGGGGCAUCUUUCCUCACCUUAUAAUCUUGGUUAUUUGAAUGAUCCUAACAUGUACAACAUGUCCCCCCCUAAUGGGACAUUUUGUGGUUUUGAUAGGUAGGAGUAAAGUCUCUAUUACCAACUGGGAUUUUGUGGUAGGAUGAAGAAAACUUGUCAAGACCAUGCUGCUGUGUCAGCCACACUGAAGCACUGUCUAGAUAUGGCUCAAAUGCAUUAAACCACGGCAGCUGACUGAUGUCAGAAACCCCUCGCUGUUGCUAUGGCUCAUCCACAAUACAGAAACUAGCUGGUUGUGGUAGCUCACACCUGUAAUCCCAGCUACUUGUGAGGCUGAGGCAGGAGGACUACUUGAGCCCAAGAGCUGGAGGCUGCAGUGAGCUAUGACUGUGCCACUGCACUCUGGCCUGGGCAACACAGUGAGAAUUCUGUCUUAAAAAAAAAAAAAGGCCACGUGCAGUGGCUUAUGCCUGUAAUCCCAGCACUUUGGGAGGCCGAGGUGGGCAGAUCACCUGAGGUCAAGAGAUCGAGACUAUCCUGGCCAACAUGGUGAAACCCCGUCUCUACUAAAAAUACAAAAAUUAGCUGGGCGUGGUUCAUUUGAAUAAAAGCAUGCAGUAGUAAAAUUUUGAACUGGAUUAAAUUUGAGUAAAUGUAAGACUGUGGGUACCAGUUGAGUCCCAUUCUGAUUGUGACAAAUCUCAACCACCAACUCUCACAAUCCUUUGUAGAUCUUGGGACUCAAUCUCUUUGCAGUUGUUGUGCAUAACAAUGAAUAUUAUUUGGUGGUAUUAAAGAACAUGCUUAAUUAGUGAAUAGUCUGAAGACCACUAAAGCAUAUUAGAUAACAGUAAUACAGGUUAAAUUUUCUAGUACAGAUAGCAUGAUUUUUCCCCCCUUUGGCUUCCUGGUGCA